AGGACCACUGUGGGCUGCUCAUCACAACUAUCAACAGUGAGUUACAUGGGUGUCGUCCUCCCCAGUGGGCCCCUCUGUGGUGAGUUUGCAGACAACAAACCACUGUCUUAGCAACAACUGGGAUUGUUUGGGGAUUUCCAUGGGACCCACUUAGCCAACAAUUCAACUGAAUGCAACCUAGUUCCAGUACUGGAAGACUCAAAUAGUGGCAAGAAAUGGCUGGAACGAAAUCCUAACUGUGCAAGAUGUUACCUGAAAUCUAGCUAUGUACAAACAGGCUAGAGCCUUCAAGAGCUCAGGCUGCAAUAUAAAUGGCUGCCAGGAGGGGGCGCAGAGCACCGAACUGCUUCCGGCCUCAAGGCCUCUUUGGAGUCUGGAAACUUGGAAGGAGAUAAAACACCUUUCCAGGUAGAGAAGGUGGAAGGCUGCGAUGCAUUUGGUUGGUUUUGGUUCAAACAAUACGGCAAGCACACAGAAAU